rnacentral:rRNA from 1 species
UAUUGCGAAGGCAGAUCACUAACAGCGUACUGACACUGAUGGACGAAAGCGUGGGGAGCGAACCAGGAUUAGAUACCCCUGGUAGUCCCACGCCGUAAACGAUGGUCCACUAGGCUGUCCCGGACUUCCGGUCUGGGUGGCCAAGCGAAAGUGAUAAGUGACCCACCUGGGGAGUACGUUCGCAAGAAUGAAACUCAAAGGAAUUGACGGGGGCCCGCACAAGCGGUGGAGCAUGUGGUUUAAUUCGAUGAUACGCGAGGAACCUUACCAGGGCUUAAAUGUAGGUUGCAUUGGCUAGAGAUAGCCAUUUUUCGGACCACCUACAAGGUGCUGCAUGGUUGUCGUCAGCUCGUGCCGUGAGGUGUCAGGUUAAGUCCUAUAACGAGCGCAACCCCUGUUGUUAGUUGCCAGCGAGUAAUGUCGGGAACUCUAGCAAGACUGCCGGUGCAAACCGUGAGGAAGGUGGGGAUGACGUCAAAUCAUCACGGCCCUUACGUCCUGG